UUGGCCCUGCAAGGGUGAGUCUCAGGAUGAGACGAAUAGCCCUGCGUUCAGGUUCAAGCCGAGCGAAGCGAGACAGCAACGCGUCAGCGUUGACCCGAAGGGCGAGGCCGGAGGCCGAGUCAUCCUGCACGACCCACCA
rnacentral:sRNA from 1 species